GACGAACGCUGGCGGCGUGCUUAACACAUGCAAGUCGAACGGAAAGGCCCUGCUUUUGUGGGGUGCUCGAGUGGCGAACGGGUGAGUAACACGUGAGUAACCUGCCCUUGACUUUGGGAUAACUUCAGGAAACUGGGGCUAAUACCGGAUAGGAGCUCCUGCUGCAUGGUGGGGGUUGGAAAGUUUCGGCGGUUGGGGAUGGACUCGCGGCUUAUCAGCUUGUUGGUGGGGUAGUGGCUUACCAAGGCUUUGACGGGUAGCCGGCCUGAGAGGGUGACCGGCCACAUUGGGACUGAGAUACGGCCCAGACUCCUACGGGAGGCAGCAGUGGGGAAUAUUGCACAAGGGGCGGAGGCCUGAUGCAGCAACGCCGCGUGCGGGAGGACGGCCUUCGGGUUGUAAACCGCUUUCGCCUGUGACGAAGCGUGAGUGACGGUAAUGGGUAAAGAAGCACCGGCUAACUACGU
rnacentral:rRNA from 1 species